rnacentral:rRNA from 1 species
UACGGUAGGGUGCAAGCGUUGUCCGGAAUUAUUGGGGCGUAAAGAGCUUGUAGGCGGUUUGUCGCGUCUGCUGUGAAAUUUCGGGGCUCAACCCCGAACUUGCAGUGGGUACGGGCAGACUAGAGUGUGGUAGGGGAGACUGGAAUUCCUGGUGUAGCGGUGAAAUGCGCAGAUAUCAGGAGGAACACCGAUGGCGAAGGCAGGUCUCUGGGCCAUAACUGACGCUGAGAAGCGAAAGCAUGGGGAGCGAACAGG